rnacentral:rRNA from 1 species
UACGUAGGUGGCAAGCGUUGUUCGGAAUUACCGGGCGUAAAGCGCGUGUAGGCGGCUCUUCAAGUCAGACGUGAAAGCCCCGGGCUUAACUCGGGAACUGCGUUUGAUACUGUCGAGCUAGAGUGUGGAAGGGGCGAUUGGAAUUCCGUGUGUAGCGGUGAAAUGCGUAGAUAUACGGAGGAACACCAGAGGCGAAGGCGGAUCGCUGGGCCAACACUGACGCUGAGACGCGAAAGCUAGGGGAGCAAACGGG